ensembl:lncRNA
GUAGUAGCAUGCGCUGCAAACUUUGUCGAAAGCAUUUGUAGCAGUUGUAUUUAUACAAUGGCAUUAUGCAGCAGUUUUAUAAUGUUCUACAGUUGAUUGGUCGUAUUCAACUUCUGACAGAAAAUAAAUUAUAUUUAGACCAAAAUUAAAUGGAAUGUCAAAAUGGAACAUUUCACCUCCGGCUGACGCCCUAUACUGAAAGAGGACCCACCACAACGAACCAGUGACAUGGAAUAAUCUGUCCUGAGCCUACUGGUCGACAUCCGCCAUCGCCUGAAGGAAACGCAGCCUGCCUCUUCAGCUGUCCAUGUAGAGAGGAUUGACACCAUGGAGGACUUUGAGUUACAGGAGCAACACCUCUCUGAUGCACAGGCCUUUGAUACCCUGGUGCUGCAAAUUUCAAGAAUUGGUGGGUGGAACACCAAGGACUGUGUCCACAAAGUGUUGGACAGGUAUCUACAACAUUUUCUGCAUGUUCUCAUUAUCCUUCUUUCUGAGCAUGUCAGAAUAGGUCAAAAUUAAAUGAAAAUACAAGUUCACAACCAAAUGCAUUGUGAGAUUAUAGACCAGCUGUGCUUGACAAGGAGAUAAGUAGAGGGAUAAAAGGAGGACCACCCUAGGGGACACUGAUAAAGUAGUGUAAAGGGUUUAUUGCAUGUGUAAUGUUGUUCCUACAUAUAUCUUUCACAUACAUUUAUUUUAAUUUAUUUUUUCUUUAGGCUCUUCACCAACAGCCUCAUGGCCAAAUUUAAUUUGAAGGGCAAGGGGAAAAGGGGGAAACACCCUUUAGAGGGAAUGAAGGUUUAUAGAGCAAUAGACUCCCAGAGUCUGUAAAAGUAGAAUGGGAGGCAGAGCCUUCAGCCACCAGGCUCCUCUCCUCUGGAACCA